rnacentral:rRNA from 1 species
AGUGAACGCUGGCGGUAGGCCUAACACAUGCAAGUCGAACGGCAGCACAGUAAGAGCUUGCUCUUACGGGUGGCGAGUGGCGGACGGGUGAGGAAUACAUCGGAAUCUACUUUUUCGUGGGGGAUAACGUAGGGAAACUUACGCUAAUACCGCAUACGACCUACGGGUGAAAGCAGGGGAUCUUCGGACCUUGCGCGAUUGAAUGAGCCGAUGUCGGAUUAGCUAGUUGGCGGGGUAAAGGCCCACCAAGGCGACGAUCCGUAGCUGGUCUGAGAGGAUGAUCAGCCACACUGGAACUGAGACACGGUCCAGACUCCUACGGGAGGCAGCAGUGGGGAAUAUUGGACAAUGGGCGCAAGCCUGAUCCAGCCAUACCGCGUGGGUGAAGAAGGCCUCGGGUUGUAAAGCCCUCUUGUUGGGAAAGAAAAGCAGCAGGUUAAUACCCCGCUGUUCUGACGGUACCCAAAGAAUAAGCACCGGCUAACUUCGUG